GACGAACGCUGGCGGCGUGCCUAAUACAUGCAAGUAGAACGCUGAAGGAGGAGCUUGCUCUUCUGGAUGAGUUGCGAACGGGUGAGUAACGCGUAGGUAACCUGCCUGGUAGCGGGGGAUAACUAUUGGAAACGAUAGCUAAUACCGCAUAACAGUAGAUGUUGCAUGACAUUUGCUUAAAAGGUGCAAUUGCACCACUACCAGAUGGACCUGCGUUGUAUUAGCUAGUUGGUGGGGUAACGGCUCACCAAGGCGACGAUACAUAGCCGACCUGAGAGGGUGAGCGGCCACACUGGGACUGAGACACGGCCCAGACUCCUACGGGAGGCAGCAGUAGGGAAUCUUCGGCAAUGGACGGAAGGCUGACCGAGCAACGCCGCGUGAGUGAAGAAGGUUGUCGGAUCGUAAAGCUCUGUUGUAAGAGAAGAACGAGUGUGAGAGUGGAAAGUUCACACUGUGACGGUAUCGUACCAGAAAGGGACGGCUAACUACGUG
rnacentral:rRNA from 1 species